CUCUUACUGAAAUUUCAUAAGCAACUGUGCUUAUAAUACUAAGUUCUCAAACUUUAAUAUUAAUGAAAUAUAAAGCAGGAAUCAGACAGGAAUAUGGAUUUUAAAGAAACUUAUGGUACAUAAAGAAAUAAAUGCUCGUUUUUUCAUAUUGCUUAUUAUAAUAAGGUUUAGUUUUAAAGAAAACAGUAUGAAACACCAUAGAAAAUAUGAAAGUAUAAAUAGUUGAGUACCCUACAGUCCUUUGCUUUGCUUGUUAUGAAAAGAGAGUCACAUCUGGUUGGAUUUUAAUGGAAAUGUGCUCUUGAUUUGUGAUAAUCUUGCAUAUAACUUGUUAUCUGUCCUUGGUGGCAGAGCAAUGUGUCAUCCACUAAGGUGACAGGCAGACAAGGCUUGCUGAUUUAACAGGAUUUGAUUUAGUUAGAAGGGCCACAAAGUGCAGAUUUAGUGUUCUGAAUGAAUGGAACUCAUUGCCAGGUCACAAUUCCAGUAACGCUCUGACAAGUUCUGCAAUAUUUGCUGUUUCCCAACUCUUUUAAGUAAGCAGAUCCAAAGAAUACUACUUUGCUUUUUUUUUUUUUUUUUUUUUUAAGAAAAUGGUAGCUGCUAGUAAUCCUGAAGGCAGAGAAAAACUUGCAGGCGUAUUUCAAAUAACAUCCAGAAGGCAAUAACUACAAAUAUAUUAGUUAUUUUAAAAUUCUAUUUUGUAGUUUAAUGUCACAAUUUGAGACCAAGUGGAACAGAAAUCUGAUUAUGUGCAAGGAUGUAGAAAUGAAAGCAAAGAUGCUAGUUCAAGCUAUUCAGAACCCAGCUUACUCUUAGUAUUUUUAUUUCUCUGAUGUUAUUUUUAGGAUGACAGAUUGCUAAGAAAGACUACUGCAUGGAUUAUUUUCAGUUCAUCAGCACAAAAAUUUGCUUAGUCUAAUUACAUUAAUUUCAAUGGUAUUUGAAAUCACUGGAGUCACACUGGAAGAAAAAUUGGGUAACCAUGGCAAGCUGGAGCCUUGAAGUGUGAAAGACUGUUUCCUAACAGAUACUUAGAUAAAACGUUCAACAAAAAAAUACAUAAAUGACAUUAUGCCCUUUCUUGUUUGUCUUUUGCGCAAUGAAAUUCUUUCUUUGAACAGUUCCAUCUCACUUUGAGUCAGAACAACAGAGCAGCACUGAUAUAGAGUUUUUUUGGGCCCCAGCAUCCACUUAGUGGCUGCACUAGGAAUCUGUGUGGUGUCGACACUAUGGGGUAGGAAGAACACCGUGUUUCUGCAAGAACAGUGUAACUGUCCCUGUUGGGCUUGUGGCAGGAACAGCCUGGUGCCCUCUGGCCCGGGUGGUGGCACGAGCCGCUCUUCAGGAAUCGCAAAUUGUUCCUCCUGGGUAGUGAGUGGAGCAGCAAGGGCUCCUGUUACACCCAUCUGGCAAAGCGGGGAUUAGCCUAAUUUAAUAUUCAAAAUGGAUGAAAGUAAAUAUACAAAGGUGAUGCCUGUGUGGGGAUGAGCCCAGUAAAUGUGAAGCCAUCAGCACCCCCAGCGCUGAGAUGCCAACCCUACCCUCCUUGAUCCCUGGCAAGGCAACUGGUGGGAGCAGCGGGAGAAUCCCGGCACCCACGGAACCGAAGACCAGGAGGGGAAAGGCAACAGCUCAGAGGCUAAAACAGGUAUUCCCAGGAAACAGGGAAAUGUGAAGCCUGCGCUUUUUUAUUGCUCCACAGUUCCAGUCAUUGUGUUGCAACACAUGCAUGUAAGAGAGAAAGUAAAUCUUUAAGUGCGUAUAUUUUAUUUAACCUAGAGCUAUUUCUAGUUUUCAAAAAGCAUUGGAGCAUUAAAUAAACAGUAUGCUGCCAUAUGAAGUUGCUUAAUAAUCUAUCUUAAAUGUUAUGUGGUGGUCUAGUUAUACAACUUUCAAAAAUUUUGGAAUUUUUUUAAAUUAAUGUUUUCAAGAUUUUUUUUUUCCCUCGGGACUUCUUAAUGAAGCUGCCUCCAUGCCAAAACCGAGCUCUUGUGCUAUUACACAAGCGUUUGGAACAGCCUUUUUUUUUUCCUGGAAGGGUUGGGGUGGGAAGAGUCAUUCAGCCUUCACUACAGCAGUUGCUGUAACUGCUGAAAAUAACUUUUAAAUCCAAAGAAGUAGCUAACAGUCCCAAUCAAGGAAGUACAAGACAUGAAAAAAAUGAAAUAAGCAGGAACAGGAGAUGACAUUGUCAUUCUCCUGUUCCUGUGACCUCUGUGUGUAUGAACAGAGCCAUAUAAGUGACUGUUCCUGCUCCUGAUUAGUUUUCAUUAUAUUUGAAAGCAGAAUGUCUUAUCUAUUCCUAGCUACAAAUACCUGCCAUCUGGCAAUAGGAACCUGAAAACUUUAGUAACUACAGAGAUACCAUAAAAGCGCCCUUAUGGUUUUUGAGCUUGCAAAAUAUUUUUUAAUAUUUAUAAGUAAAUACUGAUGUCUAGAAAGGCAAAGCAUAAUAAUAAUUGUAAUAAAAAUACAAAAUUAAAAUUAGUUUUCCUUACAAGGGCAAUAUUUGCAACUUUUGAGCUCUACAUUAUGGAGUAAUGUAAUCAAAAACAAAAGGUGUAGCUUUGUUGGAAAGAUGUGUAUCAGUGAAAUUUCUGCAUGUGUGCAGCUCUGGAUGGGCUUCCAAAAGUUUGCAGGCACAAUCCUUAGAUGCGCAUACAGCGUUCUGCAUUGUCAUCCUAACUUUUACAUUUAUCUGAUUUAAUGCUGAUUUUUACAUACGUGGUGCAGCUAUAAUGUGUCCAUGUGCUGCCUCACCUAAGAAUUGCAUUUUGCCAUAGGAUUGGGGUUAGAGUUGCCAUUAGAAUAAAUACAGACUGCCUACUGUACAGGCAAGCACAUUCCUCUGCAGAAAAGAAAAAGACUUUGAUGCAGUAUUUCAUUUAAAGUUAUUUUUGUUUUACGUGAGUACUAUUUUGUUCAAGGUUAAUUCCUAUUCCAGAAAUUCCUAUUGAUGGAGUGCAGUUUUGAAUUACAAGCAACUGAAAGAUGUACUUAGCCUUUAGGAUACCAGGAAUGUCUCAAUAAAACAUGAGAAGAAGCAGAAUGUCUUUGGCACAGGUAAAAGGGCUGUGUCAGUUGCUGACUGUAAUCAGGAGUCUGUAUAAGGACUGGAGUCAGGAUUUGCAUUUUAUGGUAAAAGAAGCCACACUGGAACUCCUGGUGCAGGCUGACUUAACCUCAGCGGCUUUCACCAGCCUCUGAUUUACAGGGACUGGUAUUUAUUAACUUCUAUCCUUUCUCACAUAAACUGCUUAUAAAGUAGACAUGAUCCAUUGAGCUAAUUAACCCAGAGGGAUAAUACCAGCCCUGAUCUACAUUUCCUACUUACCAUAGAGGAACCAUAGACAGCAAUUGCCUUACGAUCCCUAAUAUAAUUCCACGGCAGGCUACUUUCAAAUGCAAAAUUACAGAAAGUGGGAACUAUCACUAAUCACACACACAGAAAAGGAAGAUUGAGUCUACAAACCCUCUGCAGUGCUGACAGUUGCAUCAACCAAUUUGCAUUUUUCACUGCAUUCUCUCGGUGACUUGUCAUCAGAAGCCAAGUGACACUCCACACAGCUCCUGUGGAAAAUAAUUCAGCAGCUCAUCAAUCUCUGCCUGUCACAAAGCACCAAUACAAAAGCCGGUAUGCAUGCAUCUGCAUUUUAAAAAGAAGCUUAACAAAAGGCCUUGUGCUAUGGAUACUGUAGUUCUCAGAAAUAUGAUAGGUAUUGCCAUAAAAAAAAAAAAAAACAAAAAACAACCCAAACCAUCCACCCCACCUGAAUAAAGGUAUUGUGGAUAAGCUCUCUCUUGUCCUCUCUUCAUUUACAGCUUAUUAGCUACCAGACAGAACCCCAGGCAACAUUAUUCAUGUAGGUCUAUCAAAGACAUGGGGUUACUCACACAAAACAUUCAUUUUCAAAAGUUCAUAUUCUGAACUAAGCUCACACUAAAUACAAGCCAAAGGAAUGCCUAUCAGAUGAGCACUAUUCAGGUGUCUCAACAGAUGUCUCUUGAAUGUGAUUACCUGUCUCAGGAAUUACUUACUUAGAUCCUAAUUAUACUAAUGCAAUUUAUUGGAAAAUAUUAUUUAAAACAGAGUCUAAACCCAUUCCUUUAGAAGGCCCUGAAAAUCUUCCCAGAAAUUCAAUGAAGAUUUUAAUAAAUCCAGAGUUUAUUCAUGGAAAGAGGAAAAAACAAAUAGAAUUCAUAAACGAAAAUUUUCAACGCAAGAUGUAUAUUGCUUACACUUCACAAAUAGCUUCAGCCAGAUUGAGGGGCCGAGAUUCUGAGAAGCAGCCUGAAGGACUGACUGUUUAAAGAAAAGAGAACUUCAACAAGACAUCAAAAAAACCCCUGGCCAUCUCCUCUUGCACUGAGUUACAUAUAUCCAUGGGAAUAUGCUGAGGCUGCUGAGAUUAUCUUCACAAGAUGGAGAUGACCUUAUCACUCACUCUGGAGAUGGUGAAUAGUAAAAGCAAGUGGGUAAUGGGAUAGCCUCUAUCUCAUGGAGGCAAGUUCAGUGUUGUUGGUGGUUUUUGUCAUAUUUGCCAUGUUUCUCACACUACCACUCUUUCUCAGCUGCCUAGCCAUUCAUCUCAAUCCCCUCUGACCUGGUAUUUCAGCUCUUUCUAUUACUCUACCCCGGUAUUCCCAAUGUUCUCCCUCUUUUAGCAUUUCCUGCCUGCAUUUCAACAAGGGAAGUGACCGCAACAGAAAUAAAAGACCCAACACCGCAUACAAUAUACACGUUUAAAUAGGCUAAUUUAGUGCCCAACGUGUGACUUCAUAUUUCUUAUUCUCUGCCAAACUGGGCAGAGCAAAGCAGCAACAUUGUCCUUCAUGUUUAGAACAGUUGUAUACUUUACUUAAAGUUUUGAAUAAACUGUUUAGCUUGGGUUUGUAGGUCAAAUUUAGCACUAACAUACAUGAUGAUUAAAUCACAUGCCACAGAAGAGCUUCUCAUCUCAAAUAUAGUGCAAACUGCAAUGACAGGUAUGAAAACAGAGUGGUGGAGAGCUGGUAUGGAAAAGAAAUGGGCCUCAACUCUGAAUAAGUAGAUGUGACGUUGUCAUGAAACAUUAAUGCAACAUACACUAACCUAAUGCUCAGCAAGCAAAACCCAAGUAGUUAAUGACAUGUAUUCUGCAAAGCCCAGUUCAACUUCUAGCUUACAUUUCUACUGAAGCCUGCUCAUUUUGAACUGAUUUUAGCCAUGCAAAAGCUUGUGUAACACAAGCAUAAGCAUGGGUGUACUUAGACUGGUCACCUUUGUGUCACAUGUAUUUUUGGUUGCUUUUCCUAUCAGGCACCGUAGCAUACACCAUGCAUUACAGCCAGAAGGCUGCACAAAUUUUGUGUGUUUGGUGAACAGAAGACACUUUACCAUUUACAAUCAAUUUAUCAUCAACUUAUACAUGACAUACAGCUACUCACUGAUUUAAUCUCCAGACUUUGACCUAGUUUAUCAUAGUGGGGGCUCUUUAAUUCAGUCAAGCUUAACUGAAUUUGGCCUGUGAAUUUGCAGAUGUGUAAAGCUUGAGCAGACAGCAUGACCUUAUUAAUUUGUAUGCCUGAGAACAGUAAUACAAAUGCAAAGCUUUUCUGUGAGUCCUCAUUUUUGCUGUAGCAGCUAUGCUGGGAUGUUUUAAUUCUCUACUGUGUACUGGAAGGAGGUUCAUCUGGUUUUGUCCAAUGUGAUAAGAAAAGACUACCAUUCUGAUUAGUUGUACAGCCAAGGACAGCAGUGGAAGUGUGAUGUUUUACUUGUGUUACUUGAGGUGAUUAAAUUCUUUUCCAUAAAGUUCUUUUGUACAAGAGUAAUGCUGAUAAAUGGUUGAUGUACAAGUUACACCUACCCUUCCCAAAGGGCAAAGAAGCUCUUGGGUUCUGAUCUGUAAAUCCAAACUACAGUAGCAGCAGUAAGCACGCUGCUGAGGCAGGAUGGGAAAUAGACACCUGGACCAUACAAACAGCGGCAUAAAACCAGCGCAUUACCUCCUGGAACUGCAGGGGUCACCACAGAGAGGGCAUUUUUCACAUGUUUGGCCUGAAGCCCCUGGAUGGGUGCAAGUACAGGACCCACAGAUGCAUUCGCCUCUCCCACUGCACAGUGUCCCAUCCUCAGCAAUGCAGGCGCUGGUGUCUGUUGUGCAAUUACAGUAUUCACCAGUCCAUCCACUGUGGCAGAUGCAUUCCCCACAAUCACAGUCACCAUUGCCUGGAAAAAACAUGUAUUAUAUUUCAAAUAAUUUUCUUAAUAAAAAUCUGAAUUAUGGCCUUUAAAAUCAUUCUUCAUAGCAGAUAUUUUCCCCUCUCCAACUCUUCUCAUUCUUAAACAUCCCUAGUCCUCCCACAGUGUUUUCGCUUUUAAGCCAGAAGAUGAAAUUUUUGCUUAGAUUGGCUGUGAACCAGUGCAGCUUCAUUCACUUCAUCAGAGUCCUCCACAUAGAUCUUAUUCCUUGACAGCGCGCAACCUAAUGGGUAAAUCCUCCUUCAUUUAAAGCAGCAUAAUUUCAGCCUAUCUAUUCAGCAAAAUCUCAUUGCUAGUUCCUGCCAGUUUAAUGCUAUUUCCAUUCUUUCAAUAGAAUAACUUAUGAUUUAUAAUGGUACAUCACAGGAAAAAAAAAAAAAAAAUAUAUAUAUAAAUACAAGUUCCCAAAUUCUGACUCUAUCUUACUAGGACAAAGAAUGAAGGAGGUUACUGGGUUAAAAUUAUGCAGAUAUCAGAAUUAUCCUAAAAGUUAUGAAUUGAGAUUAGUAUGCUAGUGAUUACUAUUAGUGAUAACUAUGUCAGAGUGAAAUUGUACAGUGGCUAUCACCAAUGUAUGUUAAUAUACUUACCUAAACUUCCUUGGAGCUACACUUAUCUACAGCCAUUAAAAGUCUGACACAGUGUGAUGGUAGCAGAUAUGCACCAGUAAAGUCAUGCUAACUUAAGCUAGUGAUGGAUUGGUGAAAGGUGUCCCGUUUUUAAAUUUGAAAACAGUGUGGAAAGUUGUUUCUUGUUUUAAGUCUAAAGAUCAUUCAGAAACGGUAAAUCAGACUUCAUACAGAAUUGAUUGCAACUGAAUAUAUGAAGAAAAUAUAGAUUCCCAAGCUCAUAGCUGAGAGCAAGACAAUAAAGCUCUAACAUGCAGAAGCUACAACGAGCAGCAAAAGGACCAUACCGCUACACUGGAGCCCUCUGUGUCUGACGCAGGAGAAGUCGUCACACUCGCAGCGUGGCCCGUACACUUUGCCAUAGGGGGACGGGUGGCAGACGCAGCGCCCACAGUAGCAGUCGCCUCUCCCACCGCAGGAGCUCUGGCUCUGCUCAGCCGAGCCCUUGCAGGAGCUGGUGCCCAGGGAGCUCUCGUCACAUUCGCAGCGGGGCCCCACGUACCCCGGGCUGCAGAUACACACCCCGCACUCGAACGAGCCUCUCCCUUGGUUGCAUUUUGGGCUGUUCAUCUCGGCCUUUGCCUGGCAGUUGCAGCUGCAUUGGGGAUUAAUCUCCAUUUCCAGUGUGUCACUCAGCCCCACUGGUUUUAUCACAAUAUGCUUUCUGUUUUUUUUGCAAGAGGAGAGGCUGACUGUCACAUUGAAAGAGACCUGGAAGAGAAAUCCGUGGCUGUUCAGAGCUGCAGCACGUGUAGCUCUGCAGGGUGGUCUGGAAGCACAUGCAGAGGACAGAACAAGAGGGUCUUAGAUACCGCCAGGAUUUUUUGUAACUUGUGUGGAGGAAAAUUAUCUGAUAAAGUGCACACUUUCUGUUUCAGUGUCCUAAAUUCCCUGGACUUCAUGUAUUUUGAGAAUUCGUUUUUACUUACUGUGUCUCCCACCUUCACAUUAGAGCAUUUCCUCUGAUGUGGAGAAAAGGUCCCAUUGUUACAGAUGGCUGUGAAGGAGAGAUUGAGCCCUUCUGUAUCCCCUAAAACCUCCAGCUCUACCUCGGAUCUCAGCUCCUUAAAGGAAAAAGGCGUGAGAUGAAUGAAAUGAUAACAUUGCCAAGUGCUGAUAAUGCUCCACGUCUUUGUAACGUGGACUGUAACCUACCGUGACCUACACAGGAGUGAAUUUAUGGGUUGGGCACUUUAUUUACAGACUUCUCUGUUUCAAGUAAAAUGGGGAACAAGCAAAACAAAGCAAGAGCCGACAGAACCAGCUUUCAGUUGGGAGCAGUGUAGUAUCAGUUUAAUAUCCGUUAUCACGGGGCUUAUUUCCUGCCCUUGCAGGAUAAUGAAUUCAGUCUUUUAUUAAAUCAUCUUUCAUCACUAAGUGCUCAGCUGGCUGAUACACGUUUUCCUUUAGCUCUGGUCUUACCGAGGAACAGAUUUGUGUUCCUGAUUGCACUGCUAGCACCGGGUUUUUCCUGAUUAGCCAGCCUAUGUCAAUAUUGCUUCCCGCUUAUCUCUCCUGGUAGAAUCAAACCUCACAAUCUCUCUCACAGCAGGGCAGGCUCCAAGCUCAGUUUUGCCUCAGUGAGAGCCCUCCAUGAGUUGGCCUGAUGUUUCCAGGGCCAGAGCCAGAGCCCAGACCCAUGGUGAGCUCCCUCAGGUGAGGGGCUCACUCCCUUCCUUUCUUCUGAUGGAAUUUCCUGCUUCAUGAGCUCUCAGUGCUAUUUCAAGUUAUAUUCAACAACAUUGUCAUUUAUUAAACUGAGUUGUUCAAUCAAACUUUCAUUUCUUAAGUGAAAAACUUCCUGAGCUCUCUCAUAGCAGGUUUUGAUAUGUAACUCUUCAAAAUAUUUUAUAGCAACUUUGCUUACACAACUUAGCCUUAAUCCAAAGCCUAUAGAAGACCACGGGGAAAUUCCCUAUGACUUAAUUGGACUGUGGAUACAGUAAAUGGAAAUUUUUCAAAAGUACCUUAGCAAUUGCAGAGCAAAGUCUCACUGAACUUGGCUUUGUGCUCUUGCAAGUUUAACUGCUUUACAAAAUACCCCCUGUCCUUCAAUCAGAGCAUGAGGAGCUCACUGACCUUACUACAGCGAGUCAUUCUAGUAAAGGAUGACUCACUGAAGGAAAGGUCUGGUGGGGUAAAACAAACUAAAAGUAGAAUAGGUAUAAACCUGCAUAGGCUCCCUGGUCCUUUGCACAUGUCCUGGGUUCCCUGGAAACUUGUCCCAGGGUUCUGUUUGGUAGGGUUUUUAAAAUGUUUUUGCUUUUGGAAAGACUUGUCAGUGAACCAAAGCAUUUUACUAAAGGAUAGCAACAUGUUGUGCAAGAGGCAUUCAUGUAAUGCCCAGAGCUCUUUCCAGCACACAGCCAGAGCAGUAAAACUGCAUCGGGCAUCAGGUUGCUAACCUUAGUAGUACCCGAUUUUCCCUUGACAUGUGUUUCAGAGGUAGGUGCUUAUGUUGCUAUUGAAACAAUGCAGAGAUUCCUAGACAAUAAUUCGUUUGCAAUAGCUGGGCUCUCACAAAAGGACAAAAUAUAGCAAACCUCUGGAUAAAACUGGGAAUAUUUUUAUGUGCUAAUGUUACAGGAAAUACCACCAAAAAGUCCUUCUUCCACCAGCUGUAAAACUAUGUGGCUCAAAUAGAGGGCAACUGUGAGAGGAAAUUCAAUGCCGCUGAACACCAAGUCAUAAUACUUUGAAUCCAGGUGUCUGUAUGGGUCAUUAUGAAUAUGCCUUGCCGUUGUGAGAGGUCAAAAUAUGUACCUUACACCACUGAAAAUGAACACAUAAACUGACACACUCCAGUUUCUUCGAUCUUAAUACGUGUGAGGACUUCUAAUGGGAUUUUAAAUCUUCUAAGCUGUCUGGCCAUAGUUUGGGGAAAUAUAGUGGUCAGUUUAGUGAGUUUUAAGCCAUUCACAGAGAAACACUUGUGGUUCCAAUUUUUUUCUGAAUGAAACAACAGACAAAACAGUUACAAACUUGUUUCCUUAUGUUACCUGUCCUGUUUUAAUAUAUUUUUUCUUUCGUCUUAUUUUCCUGUAAAUGAAAAAGGAACCAAACACUGGGAAAAAAAAAAAAAAAAGUGGAAUUUUUCUGAGAUUUUAAAAUCCUGGAAUAACAAACAGCCUGAUAUCUGUCACAAGGCAAUUUAGCCUACAGCUCUGCAGUAUAAAGUUAUGCAGAAUUCAGUGUUGAACAAAGCAGGCAGAAAUAUGCUUACAAAAGAAAAUGAAUCAUACUUGGAAAGAACACGGGAACUGCUUAUAACAAAUAUUUUGACAGCUCAGACUUUCUUAACUUGCUUACUUCCUCUCUGAAGCUUUUAGAUAGCAACACAUAAUGAAUGGUAUUAGCAAACCUGGUGUUUGUACAGCAAGCAAAGACUCAAAAGCACUUUAAAAUCAUUAAAAGAUUUAGCCUAACUCUGCUCUUUUGGAGAAAAUAGUUAUUUAUUCUUUUUUUGUGGAUGAAGAAGCAGAGACAGUGGGUGUUGAAUUACACUGAGAUGGCUGUUACAAAAUGGAAUUAGAUCUUCCGUCUUGCAUGUGAGUUUUAACUCUCAUUUCUUCCUUUCCAAUCCAAAGAAAUUCAGAUGCCUUCAUUUAUUAAGGUGGUUUUUAGUGUUUCCUACUAGGAAUAUUUUCAAUCAUGAAGCAAUAAGGCUGUUAAAUUUAAGAUUAAGUGUAAUAAAAUGGGCUCUGGGAAAUUUUGAGUGUGACAUGUUACUACUUGUACACUUUGUACGUUUUGAAAUGUAUGUGGAAUUUUAAGAACCUAUGAGCAACUCCAGCACAUGGUACAUGCUGUACCUGAAUGAGGACAUGACAAGUUUUGGCCGGCAGGCAGGAGCACCGUCCCUGCAGCCGCCCUCCUGCUGCUACGGGAGGGGAGCGAGGAGUUGGAACCCUCCUCCAGACCCUGCCCACAGCACGGCUGAACCCAGGACCGGCCAAAAAACAACUCAGGAGCUGCACUAGGGUCACCACUGACAGCUCUGGGAGAUGAACUGCUCAAAGCAUGCACCAAUCAAAAGCCGACAAUGUCCUGGGUGUCACAAGCAAGGAUGCUGAGAAGACAGCCUCUGUCUAAACCUUAGCAUAACCUGUCUCGCAUACUACAAGCUCUUCUGGUCUCCGCAUCUCAGAAAGGGGAUGAAGCAGCCAAGGAGAGACUCAAAAGACUUGGAUUGUCCAAUCUGGAGACAAGAUUGCAGGGAUGAACAGUGUCUACAUGAUAAAAUACUAUGAAAUAAUGAAGACAUGAAGAUAGGGUGAAUGCAGAGCUGUUAUUCACCAAACCCUGUAAUACCUGAACUCAGGAGCACUUGGUAAAGCAUAGGGAGUAGUUUAAAAUGGGAAAAAGAAAAAUCUAUCCUGACACAGUUCAACUGAAAUCCUUUUUGCCUCAAAACACAAUGGAGACUGAAAGUAUCAGCAGGUUCAAAAAGGAGAGCAGGAAAAAAAUGGACAAUAGGUACCUAAGCAGACACUAAAGGGAAGAGACUGGGAUACACUCUCCACCUUUCCAGUGUUCCAGCAAGAAAGAUGCUGUGAUACUGCAACUAGAGGAAGCACCAUUCUGCACUCAACACAGUGUUACAGCAAAGGCACCAGAACACAGCACUGGGACAAUUAUUUUAUGUUUUUCCAUUACUCACUGGACAACAAAGUGGUAUUUCAGCUGUUAAAUGUGGGAACCUCUUCCUAUAUGUUAAAAUGCCAGCCUCAAGAAAUCCUGAUAGAAACCAGAACUAACAACAGGUUGGACUCCAGAAAUGAAAUCCUGGUGCCACUGGGUGUUUAGUAAUAGCUUUGUUUAUUUAAAGAUUUCCCUCUGUAUUUAUUACAAUGUGUAGACUCCCAAUGUUAAACUUGAAGUUCUUUGGUUAUUUAAUUUUCCAUAGGACAGAGAACCUUGUGGUAUUUUGUAUUUCAUUAAAAACAAACAAACAAACAAACAAA